CCCAGCUUGCUGGGGUGGAUGAGUGGCGAACGGGUGAGUAACACGUGAGUAACCUGCCCCCUUCUUCUGGAUAACUGCCGGAAACGGUAGCUAAUACGGGAUACUCAUUCCCUGCCGCAUGGUGGGGUUUGGAAAGGUUUUUCUGGUGGGGGAUGGGCUCGCGGCCUAUCAGCUUGUUGGUGGGGUGAUGGCCUACCAAGGCUUUGACGGGUAGCCGGCCUGAGAGGGUGGACGGUCACACUGGGACUGAGACACGGCCCAGACUCCUACGGGAGGCAGCAGUGGGGAAUAUUGCACAAUGGGCGCAAGCCUGAUGCAGCGACGCCGCGUGAGGGAUGAAGGCCUUCGGGUUGUAAACCUCUUUCGCCAGUGAAGCAGGCCAGGCCUUAUUGGCUUGGUUGACGGUAGCUGGAUAAGAAGCGCCGGCUAACUACGUGCCAGCAGCCGCGGUAAUACGUAGGGCGCAAGCGUUGUCCGGAAUUAUUGGGCGUAAAGAGCUCGUAGGCGGCUGGUCGCGUCUGUCGUGAAAUCCCCUGGCUUAACUGGGGGCUUGCGGUGGGUACGGGCCGGCUUGAGUGCGGUAGGGGAGACUGGAACUCCUGGUGUAGCGGUGGAAUGCGCAGAUAUCAGGAAGAACACCGGUGGCGAAGGCGGGUCUCUGGGCCGUUACUGACGCUGAGGAGCGAAAGCGUGGGGAGCGAACAGGAUUAGAUACCCUGGUAGUCCACGCCGUAAACGUUGGGCACUAGGUGUGGGGGCUCUUUCCGGGGUUUCCGCGCCGUAGCUAACGCAUUAAGUGCCCCGCCUGGGGAGUACGG
rnacentral:rRNA from 1 species